UGAGCACAUUUUCAGCAACUGAAUCUUCCCUUUAAUGUACCUAACAAUAUAUAAAAAUAACGUUACAUAUAUUAUGACGUCAAACGUCAAAUUAUUACAAUUAUACCUUGUUAAACAUAACAUUAAAGAGGGUGUAUAUUGUUUGGCACAUGUCGGUCCGUCGAUCGGUCUGUCCGUCCACCUAAUCCUAUAACACUUGUUAUAUUAUGUUUUGUUAUUACAUAACAGCAUAACAAUGAGCAUACUUUUAUUUCAGAACCGGUCGCCUAGAAAGAGAAAGCAGCCGGCGUCACCCGAGCACCAGAACCCGGAGACCCGACAGCCUAAGGCUAACCCAGUGAGUACCCAGUCAUAUGAGGUAUUCAAUCUUGCAGUGCGACAGUACCUCGACAUGCCAUCGACCUCUGGUACUGUCAUUCAGUACUCUUGACGACAUUAAUGUCGUACGCCCUAACAUGCUGACGGUACCAGAGCCGCCGGUCGCGGAAGGACCCGAGCCACAACCCGGGACGACAUCACGGGAAUGUAUAUCAGACACAGGAUCGUGAUUGCCGACGGGGGCGCAGUGGACGGAGUGGGCGAAGGCAGAGGGGAUUCGUCCGAACCCUCAGGGAGUGUACAUCUGGAGCGAGACCGAAGAGGACGACGUGUUUGAGGACGAACCUGCAUUAAGGUUGUCGACCUCCGAGUCAUCCAGAUCGUCCAGGGUAACACACGUGUCCUCUUCGUCCAGGUCGUCUUCACCCGCGUCCUCUUCGUCCAGGUCGUCUUCACCCGCGUCCUCUUCGGGUAGCUCUUCCACGUCGGGCUCAUCGGGGGACUAUUAUCCCUUUGAAUCGUCGGACUCUGAUGUGCCACAGCCGGUCCCUGUGGUGGCUGUCCCUCAGUCAUCGUCGGAGGACUCUGAAGUGGAGCAGCCGGUCCCUUUGGUGGCUGUCCCACCACCAAGACGGAGGAGGGAAAGAGUCACGAAGGCGGAGGAGCUCGCCAUCAACAUGACAUUUGCUGACGAAAUUGUCGCGUCCGCCCUUUCGGGGAAAACAAUUGCUAUCGAGGUCGUCCGGGAAGAGUACUGCUUUGCUUCAAUGGGGCGGUUGAGUGUUGAACAGGUUAGGGCAAAAGUCCGUAACAUUGCCCGGGCGAGAGCAGCUCGCCUGGCGGCCGCUCCAUAGUUUAUUAUUGUAAUUUUUGUUUUGUGUUUUUUUAUGUUUCAUUUUUCUUGUUUGAUUAUGUAUAAGUAUACCAUGAUAUUAUGAUUUUGUAAAUUUUUUUUCAAUCUACAUAGUUUAUUAGUUUGCUUUUUAUUUUCUGUUCUUUGUAUUUACAUGUAUACAUUUGUUUCAAGUUUGUUUAAAUAAAUAUGUAUUAGUAUACAUUGUAAGUACUGGUUCUACCCAGGAAAAUACUUGAUUAUUUGUGAAUGUUUUUAUUAUAUGCUUUUAUGUCUUUGAUUUAUAUGAUUUUUGUUUUGUUUUUGUCUGAGAAUAAAAUACUAUUAAAU